GUGACGUGUUUCACUAAUUACACUCCACAAGAGCAAACACUGGGCACAGGACUGAAAGCCAAGCCUACCUGAGUUCACUCUGAGCCACUGGAUCCUCCUUUCACGCCUCCUCUUCUCACCUUCACUCAUCUCUCCUUCACUCAUCUCUCCUUACAGAACAACAUUUAAGGAGAAAAUUUUCGGUUAAAACUUCGGUUAAAAUUUUCGGUUAAAAACUUCGGUUCCGGAAGUCUUGAGUCGACUCCUCAGCUGAUUCAGUGAGUCGAUUCACUUCACUUCGCUUCAGUUGACUGAGCUUUAUUCAGAGUCUCUGUGUCUCUGUCAAGAUUCAUUUCCUGGAAUUUUCUCCUCAGUCUGUCGAGACCGAAAAAGUCUGAAGGAAAAGGAAUCAGCUGAAACUUACAGCAGUUGUGUGAGUGGAAUGAGGACGAUGGGAUCAGUUUCGUGGUGAAAGAACAAAUGAAGGCAGGAGUUUGUUCAGAUCCCGAAGCAGGAGAUGAGAAUGUGAUUUACAGGAACAUGGAACACAUCUCACACCCUUUCCAGGAAACCAGAUGUGCUUUGAACACCAACAUGCUUUCAGCAACACUGCUGUGGGAAACACCCUGCUGGGUUCUAG